GGGACUGCGCAGCUAACACAUGCAAGUCGGACGGUAGCACAGAGAGAGCUUGCUCCUCGGGUGACGAGUGGCGGACGGGUGAGUAAUGUCUGGGAAACUGCCCGAUGGAGGGGGAUAACUACUGGAAACGGUAGCUAAUACCGCAUAACGUCGCAAGACCAAAGUGGGGGACCUUCGGGCCUCACACCAUCGGAUGUGCCCAGAUGGGAUUAGCUUGUAGGCGGGGUAACGGCCCACCUAGGCGACGAUCCCUAGCUGGUCUGAGAGGAUGACCAGCCACACUGGAACUGAGACACGGUCCAGACUCCUACGGGAGGCAGCAGUGGGGAAUAUUGCACAAUGGGCGCAAGCCUGAUGCAGCCAUGCCGCGUGUAUGAAGAAGGCCUUCGGGUUGUAAAGUACUUUCAGCGGGGAGGAAGGUGUUGAGGUUAAUAACCUCAGCAAUUGACGUUACCCGCAGAAGAAGCACCGGCUAACUCCGUGCCAGCAGCCGCGGUAAUACGGAGGGUGCAAGCGUUAAUCGGAAUUACUGGGCGUAAAGCGCACGCAGGCGGUCUGUUAAGUCAGAUGUGAAAUCCCCGGGCUUAACCUGGGAACUGCAUUUGAAACUGGCAGGCUUGAGUCUCGUACAGGGGGGUACAAUUCCCGGUGUAACGGUGAAAUGCGUAAAGAUCUGGAGGAGUAGCAGUGGCGGAGCGGC
rnacentral:rRNA from 1 species